CACCAAUGCUUUCCUCUUCAACUCCCCAAUUCGUGUCGUCCUUUUCUCCUUCCAUUCCUGCCAACGUUUUCAAUCCCCCGACCUCCCUAGGUCCUCCACUGUCUGAACGGCAUGGAACUCUCUCGGUCUAUCCCUGUGCAGUGCAGAGGGGCGGAAAAUCGGCGACGGGAGGACGGUGCCAUCGGGUGGCGGAUCCGGCAUUCCCCUUCGCUUCCGGCGGCCGAUUCGGCGAGUGGGAUAAGCGAUGGCCAGGCUUCUCCCCGUCCGUACGGCGUCAGAUACGGUGUCGCGAUGAGCCGGAUGCCUUUUGUAUCGUGGAUCCGAUCGACCGGAGUCCAUGGUGGUUGACGCCGUCAGAAGCUGAGCCGGUGAUGAUGGUGGCCAUCGACGAGGCGACAGUUGCUAGGGCUUCAGGCCCUAUUUCGGGGAAGAUGUUUGCGGCAGCUCUUUGUCCUUCGCGUCGGCAGAGGCACGGAACAGUCCAUCAUGUGGGGAUUAUCCCCGGCCGAUGCGCUGGAAUCUGAUCUUUAUUCCUGUUCGCUGGGACGGGAUAUACUUGCGGCCUCCAAAGCCUUUGAACGCGAUGCAGAUCGAUGGUGUUUCAAUGGUGGCUUGACCACAUGACGAGUGUCCGGCCGGCUUGAUUGCAUCGGCGAGCCUGGGGUGUUGGUGCAUAUUUUGAGUUUCUGUGGGUUUCGCGUUGCUUUGGUGACUUCCGUCUUUGUGUCUUUACGCGUAUGUAUUGUGCUCGGCAAAUCUGAAUCCCUCUACAGGUACAUCGUCAUCAACCUGAGUUUAAGCCCACACCGUAACUCAUCUCCUUCCUGUACACUUUGCCGGUGGCGGCCGGCCGAUGGCUGGGCGCAUCUGAAGCCCUGAAUUACUAACCUCCCUCCCUUAUGAGCUCCCCCUCCUAUAUAUAGCCUGAUGUUGAGUUUAUUUAUCCCCAAUCCAUGGACUCUUGCUUCCUAUCCGUUCAAUUUCUUCAUGUACUAGAUUCAACGUGUUUGUAUUUCAGGGCUGAUCAGUAACUGAUAGUAUGUUUUCGUCUGCAAUUGAUUGGCUGCCGUAUGCACUGCUAUUAAUCUUCCUUCGGCCAGAGAUCUCACUCAUCUUCAUCCGCCAUUUCAUUUUUUUUCUUAGUCAGGAUUUAGUUUUAGAUAACUAGAUUUAUGUGAAAUUUUACUCUGUCAUGUUUUUUAUGCAGGAAGGUCAUUAACAGAUGUCAAAUUAAUUCACCAUGUAUGUACCAGAGUUUGCUCUUGCAAUAUUUGACAAAGGUCAAUUGCUGAUAACAAUGAAUACGUACGAACCACCAUUACUGACAGAAAAUCAACAAAUCAACAUCCUGCUAGCACUACAAACAAGAAGAACGCAGGAAACAUGUCAGGACAGGUAGAGUAAUGCCCCAUGAAACAAAAACUCCAUCAAGGGCAUGCUAUGCUACAAUGAAGAUACAUGCUUCAGUUUCUACCAUGUCGAUUACCUAUAUACAGUAUAAAUAAUUUCUACUUUGAUCUCCACCUAUUAUAACUGAGAAAGGUUCUACUACUAGAUGUUCUUCAGUGGUAUAAAAUUACAAAUGUAUCAUCAUGUUGGACUAUAUGUAUCUGCAUCAAUUGCUAUUAGUGCGCACAUUUUCUCCAAACCUCCACUGCGAGGCAUGUGUUUUACUCUUCACCUUACAUCAAUGUACAUUGCCAGCUGUACAGAAUGUGCAAGUCA